CUAUACAUGCAAGUCGAACGCGCAGCGAAAGGUGCUUGCACCUUUCAAGCGAGUGGCGAACGGGUGAGUAACACGUGGAUAACCUGCCUCAAGGCUGGGGAUAACAUUCGGACACAGAUGCUAAUACCGAAUAAAACUUAGUAUCGCAUGAUACAAAGUUCAAAGGCGCUACGGCGUCACCUAGAGAUGGAUCCGCGGUGCAUUAGUUAGUUGGUGGCGUACAGGCUUACCAAGACGAUGAUGCAUAGCCGAGUUGAGAGACUGAUCGGCCACAUUGGGACUGAGACACGGCCCAAACUCCUACGGGAGGCUGCAGUAGGGAAUCUUCCACAAUGGGCGCAAGCCUGAUGGAGCAACGCCGCGUGUGUGAUGAAGGCUUUCGGGUCGUAAAGCACUGUUGUAUGGGAAGAAAUGCUCAACUAGGGAAUGACUUUAGCUUGACGGUACCAUACCAGAAAGGCACGGCUAACUACGUGCCAGCAGCCGCGGUAAUACGUAUGUCCCGAGCGUUAUCCGGAUUUAUUGGGCGUAAAGCGAGCGCAGACGGUUGAUUACGUCUGAUGUGAAAGCCCGGAGCUCAACUCCGGAAUGGCAUUGGCAACUGGUUAACUUGAGUGUUGUAGAGGUAAGUGGAACUCCAUGUGUAGCGGUGGAAUGCGUAGAUAUAUGGAAGAACACCAGUGGCGAAGGCGGCUUACUGGACAACAACUGACGUUGAGGCUCGAAAGUGUGCGUAGCAAACAGGAUUAGAUACCCUGGUAGUCCACACCGUAAACGAUGAAUACUAGGUGUUAGGAGGUUUCCGCCUCUUAGUGCCGAAGCUAACGCAUUAAGUAUUCCGCCUGGGGAGUACGACCGCAAGGUUGAAACUCAAAGGAAUUGACGCGGACCCGCACAAGCGGUGGAGCAUGUGGUUUAAUUCGAAGCAACGCGAAGAACCUUACCAGGUCUUGACAUCCUUUGAAGCUUCUAGAGAUAGAAGUGUUCUCUUCGGAGACAAAGUGACAGGUGGUGCAUGGUCGUCGUCAGCUCGUGUCGUGAGAUGUUGGGUUCAGUCCCGCAACGAGCGCAACCCUUAUUGUUAGUUGCCAGCAUUCAGUUGGGCACUCUAGCGAGACUGCCGGUGACAAACCGGAGGAAGGCCGGGACGACGUCAGAUCAUCAUGCCCCUUAUGACCUGGGCUACACACGUGCUACAAUGGCGUAUACAACGAGUUGCCACCCUGCGAAGGUGAGCUAAUCUCUUACAGUACGUCUCAGUUCGGACUGCAGUCUGCAACUCGACUGCACGAAGUCGGAAUCGCUAGUAAUCGCGGAUCAGCACGCCGCGGUGAAUACGUUCCCGGGUCUUGUACACACCGCCCGUCACACCAUGGGAGUUUGUAAUGCCCAAAGCCGGUGGCCUAACCUUCGGG
rnacentral:rRNA from 1 species